GUUGACAAAUUUAUUUCCAUUUUUAAUUUAAAAGAAAACAAUAUGCAAUUUGUCCACCAGUUUUUGGUUAGAAUACUUAGUUAAUUAGAUACAGUAGAAUUUUGCUGAAGUUUUAUCCACAGAAUGUGUCAUGUUUUUUGUACUGAUUAAUGACUUUAUAGUUCUAAAUGCAUGUUUAUCUAUAUAGUGGAAAGCUAACAUAGGUAUUACCAUGGAAAGUAUAAGAAUGCUUGAAGCAGUUUUUAUAAUGAUUUUGGUUCCGGGCGUCAUAAGCUAUGGCAUUGGCCCCCCAUCCAGUGUAUGUGGAAACAUGAUGCCGGGACAUGGAAAAGUAGCUCAAUCAAGUGAACCGCCAUACAUUAUCAAGUUUCAGCCAGACAAGACAACCUACUCAGACAGUGAGGAGAUUCAAGUAACACUGGAAGGUAAAGAUAAUACGAAAUUCCGAGGAUUUAUGAUACAGGCACGGCCAGAUGCGAAUACCUACACAACAUAUGGUUCAAUGUCUAAAACACCAGAUAAUACAAAAAAUGAAUGCAUCAGUGAAGGAGCUGGUAAGAAUGUUGCCAUUACACACAGUGAUGGAUCUGAUAAAACUUCUAUAACAUUUACCUGGAGAGCUCCAGCAACUGAUGUUGGAAAUAUUACUUUUGUGUAUACUGUGGUGCAAGUAAAAGCAACAUUUUGGGUGAAAGCAGAAUCCAGUAUGUUAACCUACAAGCCAGGUGCAGGAACUGAGGCUAGUACAGCACCCAGCCAAACAACUAAAACUCAGACUGACUCCCAAACUGAUGUCCCAACUACACCACAACCCAACCAGACUAUCAAGAAGGACAGUAGAUGUGGAAAGAGUGUUGGAUGUUACCAUGAUUGUGACAGCAGUGAUUCCUGUGGAUUUUUAUUGACCUGGAUGCAGAAUGGAGAUGAUAUAGAUUUUACCUUGACCUGUAAACAAGGUAGCAACAGUGUCUACUGUGCCAUUGGUUUGUCUAAGGAUAACAAAAUGGGAGAUGACAGUGUUUUUGAGUGUGUAUCAAGUGAUGGAACAGUGUCUGUGUUUGUAUCAUACAAUGAUGGAAGAAAUAAUUACAGACUUAAGAUGGAAAAAUUUGGUGUAAGUAAAAUUACAGCUGUACAUCAAGAUGGGAUCCUUAAAUGUACCUUUUCAAGGAAAAAGACAUUUGACCUUGCUUCAGCUGGACGUAAAAAGCGAGCAGUAGAUGCCACAACCUCAACAUUCUUUGAUAUGAAUGAUGACUUCAAUUUAUUGUAUGCUUAUGGAACUGCUAUAGGAGGCAACCUGAACAAACAUCAGAUGCAUCCCAAAGUGUCUUCACAGAAAGCAGACUUUCAGAGCUUUACUGACCUCAGUGCAUCGGCCAUUUCAAAACCACAAAUUAAACUGCAUGGAAUUUUGAUGAUGUUUGCAUGGUUGUUUUUUGCUAACUUUGGUAUAUUCAUGGCAAGAUUUUACAAGACAGUUUGGCCUGAAGGCAUGGAGUGGUGUGCACAGAAACGCUGGUUUAUACUUCACAGAUCCUUCAUGGUGACAGCUUUCUUACUGACAGUAGCAUCUUUCAUUGUUAUUUUUGUGCAUGUUGGAGGUUAUGCAAAGAUAGAAGGAAAUAACUUUGAGAAAUCACAUCCAAUCAUAGGAAUAGUGGUCAUGUGUUUAGCUACAAUAAAUCCCAUUAUGGCAUUAUUUCGACCACAUCUAGGCACGCCAAAAAGACCAUACUUCAACUUUGCACACAUAAGUGUUGGUGUAACAGCUUAUGUCUGUGCAGUUGUCAACAUGUUCUCUGGUUUUGACCAAUCUGCAGCAGAUGUACCUUUUAGUGCCAAAAUAGUGGUAUGGAUAUAUCUUGGAUGGGUUGGUCUUAUUGAGUUAACAUCAUAUAUAUAUGACUGUCAAACAAGAAGAGAACAAUGCACAAAUUUUGAAAUUCUCAUGCAGAUUUCUAGGCUCUAAAGGAGAAGCAUAUGAAAUGAAAUCUUCUGCAGCAGAUCAUGAAACAGUUCAUCAGAAUGUUUCAAGAUUCAAGAUUGGCAUACUAUGUAUACAUGCAGUAGUGCUGUUGUCCUUAGUGAUUGCUGGGGCAGUUAUUGUAGGU
rnacentral:misc_RNA from 1 species